UACGUAGGGGGCAAGCGUUGUCCGGAAUCAUUGGGCGUAAAGAGCGCGUAGGCGGCCCUGUAAGUCCGCUGUGAAAGUCAAGGGCUCAACCCUUGAAUGCCGGUGGAUACUGCAGGGCUAGAGUCCGGAAGAGGCGAGUGGAAUUCCUGGUGUAGCGGUGAAAUGCGCAGAUAUCGGGAGGAACACCAGUGGCGAAGGCGACUUCCUGGCCUGUUCUUGACGCCUGAGGCGCGAAAGCUAGGGGAGCAAACGGG
rnacentral:rRNA from 1 species